rfam:Bursaphelenchus xylophilus, Ka4C1 (inbred line), WGS project CADV01000000 data, contig: scaffold00036.17
CCAACCAUAGCUCAGUUGGUAGAGCGGAGGACUGUAGUUCAGCGGAAAUCCUUAGGUCGCUGGUUCGAAUCCGGCUGGUUGGA